AUUGAACGCUGGCGGCAUGCCUUACACAUGCAAGUCGAACGGCAGCACGGGUGCUUGCGCCUGGUGGCGAGUGGCGAACGAGUGAGUAAUACAUCGGAACAUGUCCUGUAGUGGGGGAUAGCCCGGCGAAAGCCGGAUUAAUACCGCAUACGAUCUACGGAUGAAAGCGGGGGACCUUCGGGCCUCGCGCUAUAGGGUUGGCCGAUGGCUGAUUAGCUAGUUGGUGGGGUAAAGGCCUACCAAGGCGACGAUCAGUAGCUGGUCUGAGAGGACGACCAGCCACACUGGGACUGAGACACGGCCCAGACUCCUACGGGAGGCAGCAGUGGGGAAUUUUGGACAAUGGGCGAAAGCCUGAUCCAGCAAUGCCGCGUGUGUGAAGAAGGCCUUCGGGUUGUAAAGCACUUUUGUCCGGAAAGAAAUCCUUGGCCCUAAUACGGUCGGGGGAUGACGGUACCGGAAGAAUAAGCACCGGCUAACUACGUG
rnacentral:rRNA from 1 species